rnacentral:misc_RNA from 1 species
CCAUUUGCAAAUAAACCCAGAAAGUAAAACCACUCGCAGAUCUCUCCCUCAAUUGCUAAUUUAUAAAAUAGAAACCAACAUCUCUAUUCCUUUCGGUGCCUUUAAACUUCUAUUUCUUGCAGUAACUGGGUAAGGUCUUCAUUAAAUUUCCUCUUCUCUAAUUGCAAAACAAACCCAGAAAGUAAAAUCAGUCUCUCGAUUGCUAAUGCAGCAAGCAGAAACUACCAUUUCUGUUCUUCACUGUCUCCUUCAACUUUCAGCAGCAUCGAAUGCCACAUGCUACAAUAAAUUUUCCGACUAGCUUAUUUUCAGAGGAGAAAAGGAAAGACACUUGCGAUUUCCAUGGUUUCUCUGAAUUGGAUAGAAUAUCAACACACUAUAUGCCCCAAUCUCAAUCAAUUCUCCAAUUCUUCAGAUACCCAUAUGGGAUCCAGAGAGAAUUGCAAUUGAAAUUGCAAAGUUGAUUUUAGAAGAGCAUUGGAUGCAAACGAUGAGCAACGAAUGAAGGGGUAAGUGAACUCAUUUUUUAUUGUUAAAAAAAUAAAAAUAAAAAUGA